GGUUCGAUUAUGGCUCAGAUUGAACGCUGGCGGGGGAUGCUUUACAUGCAAGUGGAGCAGCGGCACGGACUUCGGUCUGGUGGUGAACGGGUGAGUAAUGUAUCGGAACGUGCCUGGCGGGGGAUAACUACGCGGCGUAGCUAAUACCGCAUGCGCCCUUCGGGGAAAGCGGGGACCUUCAGACUCACUAAUGAAACUGACCGAUAUCGGAUUAGCUAGUUGGUGAAAUUAACGGCUCACGGGCGACGAUCCGUAGCUGGUUUGAGAGGACGACCAGCCACACUGGGACUGAGACUUGGCCCAGACUCCUACGGGAGGCAGCAGUGGGGAAUUUUGGACAAUGGGGGAACUACUAAUUCAACAUCGCGAUAGCUGAUGAAGGCCUUCAGUUGUAAGACGUGGCGGAAACGCAGGCGGCAGGAUAAUGCCCGUCGCCAGCGAGAAUACCUGCAGAAUAAGCGCAACCAACUACGUGCCUGGCAAGUAAUACGUAGGGUGCAAGCGUUAAUCCGGUCACUGGAGCGUAAAGCGUGCGCGAGCGGUUCGGAAAAGAAAGUGUGAAAUCCCAGAGCUUAACUGGAACUGCGUACCAACACCGAGCUGAAAUUGUGUCGGGGAGGUGGGAUUCCGCGUGUAGCAGUGAAAUGCGUAGAUAUGCGGAGGAACACCGAUGGCGAAGGCAGCCUCCUGGGGAUAACACUGACGCUCAUACUGCGGCGUUGGGAGCAAACGGGAUUAGAUACCCUGGUAGUCCACGCCCUAAACGAUGUCAACUAGCUGUUGGGGCCUUCGGGCCUUGGUAGCGCAGCUAACGCGUGAAGUUGACCGCCUGGGAGUACGGUCGCAAGAUUAAAACUCAAAGGAAUUGACGGGGACCGCCGCACAAGCGGUGGAUGAUGUGGAUUAAUUCGAUGCAACGCGAAAAACCUUGUAUACCCUUGACAUGUCCGGAGUCGGGAGGUGCAGGGUGCUCGCAGAAGAACCGGAACACAGGUGCUGCAUGGCUGUCGUCGGCUCGUGUCGUGAGAUGUUGGGUUAAGUCCGCAAUGAGCGCAACCCUUGUCAUUGGAACACUGAAAGGGCACUCUAAUGAGACUGGUGACAAACCGGAGGAAGGUGGGGAUGACGUCGGGUCUCCAUGGCCCUUAUGGGUAGGGCUUCACACGUCAUGCAAUGGUCGGGACAGAGGGUCGCCAACCCCGCGAGGGGAGCCAAUCCCAGAAACCCGAUCGUAGUCCGGAUCGCAGUCUGCAACUCGACUGCGUGAAGUCAGAAUCGCUAGUAAUCGCGGAUCCAGCAUGUCGCGGUGAAUACGUUCCCGGGUCUUGUACACACCGCCCGUCACACCAUGGGGUAGGUUUUACCAGAAGUAGUUAGCCUAACCGUAAAGGAGGGCGAUUACCACAGUAGGGAUUCAUGACUGGGGUGAAGUCGUAACCUGAGUAA
rnacentral:rRNA from 1 species